UGGCGAACGGGUGAGUAACACGUGAGCAACCUACCCUUCACUCUGGGAUAACUCCGGGAAACCGGUGCUAAUACCGGAUGCGAGUGCCGACCUCAUGGUCUGGUGCUGGAAAGAAUUUUGGUGAGGGAUGGGCUCGCGGCCUAUCAGCUUGUUGGUGAGGUAAUGGCUCACCAAGGCGACGACGGGUAGCCGGCCUGAGAGGGCGAUCGGCCACACUGGGACUGAGACACGGCCCAGACUCCUACGGGAGGCAGCAGUGGGGAAUAUUGCACAAUGGGCGAAAGCCUGAUGCAGCGACGCCGCGUGAGGGAUGACGGCCUUCGGGUUGUAAACCUCUUUCAGCUCCGAAGAAGCGAAAGUGACGGUAGGAGCAGAAGAAGCACCGGCUAACUACGUGCCAGCAGCCGCGGUAAUACGUAGGGUGCAAGCGUUGUCCGGAAUUAUUGGGCGUAAAGAGCUCGUAGGUGGUUCGUCGCGUCUGCUGUGAAAGUCCGAGGCUUAACCUCGGAUCUGCAGUGGGUAC
rnacentral:rRNA from 1 species